UACGUAGGGUGCGAGCGUUAAUCGGAAUUACUGGGCGUAAAGCGUGCGCAGGCGGUUUUGUAAGCCAGAUGUGAAAUCCCCGGGCUUAACCUGGGAAUGGCAUUUGGGACUGCAAGGCUCGAGUGCGGCAGAGGAGACUGGAAUUCCUGGUGUGGCAGUGAAAUGCGUAGAUAUCAGGAGGAACACCGAUGGCGAAGGCAGGUCUCUGGGCUGACACUGACGCUCAUGCACGAAAGCGUGGGGAGCAAACAGG
rnacentral:rRNA from 1 species